GUCCACGCCGUAAACGAUGUCUACUAGCCGUUGGGAUCCUUGAGGUUUCGGUGGCGCAGCUAACGCGAUAAGUAGACCGCCUGGGGAGUACGGCCGCAAGGUUAAACUCAAAUGAAUUGACGGGGCCCGCACAAGCGGUGGAGCAUGUGGUUUAAUUCGAUGCAACGCGAAGAACCUUACCAGGUCUUGACAUCCAGAGAACUUUCCAGAGAUGGAUCGGGUGCCUUCGGGAGCUCUGAGACAGGUGCUGCAUGGCUGUCGU
rnacentral:rRNA from 1 species